rnacentral:rRNA from 1 species
GAUGAACGCUAGCGGCAGGCUUAAUACAUGCAAGUCGAGGGGCAGCGCAGUGUAUCAAUACACGGGCGGCGACCGGCAAACGGGUGCGGAACACGUACGCAACCUACCCAUAACUGAUGAAUAUCCCUCCGACAGGAGGAUUAAUACAUCAUAACUUAAUGAAGCGGCAUCGCUUUAUUAAUAUAUCUCCGGCGGUUUUUGAUGGGCGGGCGGCUGAUUAGGUUGUUGGCGGGGUGACGGCCCACCACGCUUGCGAUCAGUAACUGGUGAAGGAUGACGAGCAGUAGCACGGGAACUGAGACACGGGGCCGGCGCCUACGGGCAGCAGCAGUAAGGAAGAUUGGUCAAUGGACGCAAGUCUGAACCAGCCAUGCCGCGGGAAGGAUGAAGGUCCUCUGGAUUGUAACCUUCUUUUGAAUGGGACGAAACCUCUUUAUCUUGAGAGACUGACGGUACCAGUAGAAUAAGCACCGGCUAACUACGUG